UACGGAGGGUGCAAGCGUUGUCCGGAUUUAUUGGGUUUAAAGGGUACGUAGGCGGUAUAAUAAGUCAGUGGUGAAAUUGUGCGGCUUAACUGUAGGAUAGCCAUUGAUACUGUUGUACUUGAGUGUUGUAAGUGUAGGCGGAAUUUCUGGUGUAGCGGUGAAAUGCAUAGAUACCAGGAGGAACUUCGAGAGCGGAGGCAGCUUACAAGGCAGCGACUGACGCUGAUGUACGAAAGCGUGGGUAGCGAACAGG
rnacentral:rRNA from 1 species